GAGAUGGAGUUUUCACUCUUAACGCCCAGGCUGGGGUGCAAUGGCGCAACCUUGCUGGUCACUGCAACCUCUGCCUCCUGGGUUCAAGAAAUUCUCCUGCCUUAGCUUCCCAAGUCGCUGGGAUUACAGGUGCCCACCACCACACCAGGCUAAUUUUUGUAUUUUUAGUGGAGGUGGGGUUUCACCAUGUUGGCCAGGCCAGUCUCAAACUCCUGACAUCAAGUGAUCUUCCCGCCUCGGCCUCCCAGAGUGCUGAGAUGACAGAUGUGAAGCCAUGCCUGGCCAGGAAUUUUGUUUUUUAGAAAGGCUUUCUACUAAUGGAAUUCCUGGCCUUGAGAGGAUAUUACUUUCGAAGGAAAGGAUUUUUUUGUUAUUAAAAGAGCCACCUAAGCUGAAGAUUCCCUUGAGAACAAGUACUGUCCUGUGGUUUCAUGACCUUUCUUCCAUUUGUCGUUCUUGUGAAGUGGAAUUUAAAUGACAUCUUAUCAAGAUGGAUAAACCCUAGUUUCCCAGUGCUGGAAUAUAGAAAAUGAUGAACAGGUAAAUCCCACUCAGCACCCAUAGUCCAGGCAUGGGGACCUCAACACACCUGAGCCCCAGACAUCACCUUUCAUUAAUGUCUUUUUGUCACUUCUAGCUGGACCUACCAUGAAAGACUUCUGAAUCCAGGAAGAGAGACUGACUGGGCAACAUGUUAUUCAGACUUCUGACCAAAUGUAUGUGCGGAGUUUCUACACCAAUCCUCCAGCUCUCUGGAUACCAACCGCGUAUCCCGCAAUUGCAUUCUGACACUACCUAGAGAUAGCGCAGAACCCACAGGUUAGGGGCUCAGUCCCACAAGACCACCCUCACUUCAGAUGCCAGUUGCAAGUCCUAGGUUGUCACCUGUAUUUUGACCAACCAGUUAGAAAUCAGGGUUUCCCAUGACCUUCUUCUUGAGUUUAAUUAUUUACUAGAACAACUCACAGAACUUAGAAAAACAGGUUUUUUUCUUUUCUUUUUAAGAGACAGGGCCUCGCUCUGUUGUCCAGGCUGGUGUGCAGUGGUGCAAUCAUAGCUCAUUGAAGCCUCAACCUCCAGGGCUCAAGUGAUUCUCCUGCUUCAGCCUCUCACAUAGCUGGAAUUAUAGGGUUCCCACCACCACAUCUGGCUAAUUUCUUUUAU